rnacentral:lncRNA from 1 species
GGAGGUUUUAAAUUGCUGACAUGAUGAGUACUGGGUGUUCUAUGUGGUGCUUUGAGGCUCAAGUGACUUGGCCUCGUUCACAGCAUCCAGUGCUUGUGGCCUCUGUCUCUUCAGUGCAGAUUCAAGUGCAGCACGUACAGGAGUGUGACCCCUGUUGUCUCCCUGGUGGUUGUGCAUCACAGUAGUAAGUUGUCUUGGUUCUGAACCUUCUGCCUGGGUUGAGGUUCAGGCCUUUACUUGGGUGUCUUCUUUUGCUGGCUUCUUUCUGUCUU